UACGUAGGGAGCGAGCGUUAUCCGGAUUUAUUGGGUGUAAAGGGUGCGUAGACGGGAAUACAAGUUAGUUGUGAAAUACCUCGGCUUAACUGAGGAACUGCAACUAAAACUAUAUUUCUUGAGUACAGGAGAGGUAAGUGGAAUUCCUAGUGUAGCGGUGAAAUGCGUAGAUAUUAGGAGGAACACCAGUGGCGAAGGCGACUUACUGGACUGAAACUGACGUUGAGGCACGAAAGUGUGGGGAGCAAACAGGAUUAGAUACCCUGGUAGUCCACACCGUAAACGAUGGAUACUAGGUGUAGGAGAUAUUAAGUCUUCUGUGCCGUCGCAAACGCAGUAAGUAUCCCACCUGGGGAGUACGGCCGCAAGGUUGAA
rnacentral:rRNA from 1 species